rnacentral:rRNA from 1 species
UGGGGAAUAUUGGACAAUGGGCGAAAGCCUGAUCCAGCCAUGCCGCGUGUGUGAAGAAGGUCUUCGGAUUGUAAAGCACUUUAAGUUGGGAGGAAGGGCAGUAAGCGAAUACCUUGCUGUUUUGACGUUACCGACAGAAUAAGCACCGGCUAACUCUGUGCCAGCAGCCGCGGUAAUACAGAGGGUGCAAGCGUUAAUCGGAAUUACUGGGCGUAAAGCGCGCGUAGGUGGUUCGUUAAGUUGAAUGUGAAAGACCCGGGCUCAACCUGGGAACUGCAUCCAAAACUGGCGAGCUAGAGUAGGGGAGAGGGUGGUGGAAUUUCCUGUGUAGCGGUGAAAUGCGUAGAUAUAGGAAGGAACGACAGUGGCGAGGGCGACCACCUGGGCUCAUACUGACUCUGAGGUGCGAAAGCGUGGGGAGCAAGCAGG